AGCUAUCCUCCAACGGCUUUCAAAACCUCACCUCUCUUCAAUAUUUGUCGAUCUCCCAUUGCCCAAAGCUCAAAUCCAUUCCCCGAAAGGAAAUGCUUCCCUCGCUUUCGCUACUAUGGAUUAGGGAUUGUCCGGUGCUAAAGAAAAGGUGCAAAAGGGACGAAGGAAAACAAUGGUCCAACAUCGCCCACAUACCUGAUGUAACAAUUGAUGGUAGAUUCAUCUACGAAUGAUCAAGAGGAAGAAUCAGAGCAUGUCAACUUAGGUAUUUAAAGCCUACAACUAAUUACUAUUUUAACUGAUUUUUUUUAUGUACAAAUAUAUCUACACAAACCAUGACAUGGGCGAACAUUGAAUUUUUUUGCAUUUAAUUCUGAAAUAUUUUAGCAUGAAAUCUUGUGGUUCCUUGUUUAUUUGUUUUAGCAUGAAAAAUAGUAUUGAUAUGUUGCAAAGGAGAUAGUAAGGUAACUAAAUGCUAAUAUGUUCACUUGUUAAAAUGGAGAUGGCAGGAUUUAUAUUCUGCAUCUGAAAUUUGAGUUCCAAAAAUAUUAAAAUGUGAUUUCAAAUUCAUUUCAAGAGCAAUGGACAAGGUUGUGCAAUCCAUGGCAGAUUACUUCUAGUAUGCUAACUCAUGAUUAGUGUAGAGAUCAGAUAGUUGAAAGCUUCUCAUGUAAUUAGUUCCACCUGAAUUGAUUUUGAGCAAUUCAAGUUUAAAGUUUAACCUUUAAUAGACUCUAGCUUAGAAAACUAGCUAUGCUUUUCUUAAUGCUCCUUAUACAAAUGCUUUCUUGUGGAGAAUUCUGGUUGUUAAUGUGAGGGUUUUGGAACUUACAGAGUAUGGUUCCAUGGUUCAUAUGGAUUUCUUAAUCUGAUCUCAGUGUUUUUAAUGAAAUUCAUUGCUUUUUUCCUUGUGCUUAAUUUGAUGCAGCUUACCUACAACUUAUAUCUUGUUUCUUCAGUUUCAUAUAAUUUGGUUUGUUUUUGCAAUGAUCGUUUAUUUGAUUUUCUUUCUCACCUUCUCUGUAAUAUGAAAUCAGUUAUAAAAUUUCAACAUCCUGGAGAGCGUUUAUUUUGUGCACAAUUCAGUCUUUAAAUUAUCUUCCUCUUUUAUAAAGAGAAACAAUUUCAAAUUUUUGAAACUCAUUUUCUGUUGACCAUCAAAUGAUGUUUUGUUGACCAUCCUAUUUUCUACCAACAAAAUGUCACAAAAAUGUAGAAGUCAAUUUCUGGAAACAUAAAAUCUUAGUUGAAGCUGAAUUCAGAAUUAAAACCAAUACUUUUAUGGCAGGUUUGGUAGACAUUAAGAAUAAGCUUCGUAGCAUUAGAUUAUGAGCAGACUUGAAAUCCAUCUCUUUUCCUCUUAAUAAAUGAGGUUGCAGCUUUCACUUCUCUCUGCACGUCCUUCAAGCUACUACAAGUGAGAACAACUAUUAGAAUUUUUCUGAUUUCUGUCUCCUUUGUGCAAAUGCAUAAUUAGUGCCUUCAUUUCAUAUCACCAAAUUAUGUUCAUUGGAUUUGAGCAAAAGCAGUACAAUGACUAUAGCCAACUCACAAGAUGUUCUACCAAUUAAUGUUAUAUGUUUUUUGUUCUCUACUUCCUUAUGCCAUGUAAGCAUCACAAGUGUUUGAGAAUCAAUGUAUUAAGUUUUUUGCUACUCAACACUAACAACAGAAUGCUUUGGCCUCGUAUGACAGGAUGAACAAAACUCAUGAUUUUGUAUCUCAUUCCAAUGCCCUUAGAAUCAAUGAUAGAAAGUUUCCUAGGCAGCAUGUGAGUGUAUCAUGUUGAAAGAAAAUUAAGAUUUUGGGUUCAACUAUGAGUCUAAGUUGGAUGUGUGUGCACUAGUGGAUUUCUUGAUCCUUUCUUCCCCAAAAUAUGAGAUUAUAGAUGGGCAGUGAUGUUGAUUCAAGAAUGUCCAAUUCCAAAGAGUUGAUGGUUAGAGAGCUGUAUAGUGUAAGAAACUGUUGCUGACCGCCAAAAGUGAUUUGAUGGAGGAAUGGGUGGCUAUGGGAAAAAUGGAUUAGAAAGAGAGCAUCUUAGUUUAAAUGAACAAUUAGGCAUAGUUUCUAUGGAUAGUUCACAUUUGCUGUGAGAUUGUUUCUUCUUAGCACAUUCAUGAUGAGCUAAUUUGAAUUGACAAUGAAUGUUUAGCACGGGAAAUUGGGGAUAAUACUUGUCUUGAAACUAUUAUACUCCGGAAAUGUAGAAAUAUUAAAUAUUUACCCCAAUGACUGGACAAGCUCAGCCGUCUUCAAAAGAUUUCUUUAUGGGGUUGUCCAAAUCUUGUCCGUCUCCCAGAAGCUCUGCCCAACCUCCACCAUCUUCAAGAAUUGAUUAUAGAUGAAUGUCCAAGGGUGCAACAUUCCAUCGGAGAAAGGGGUUUCCCUACCAACCUAACUUCCCUUGAUAUCUCUGACCCCAAUAUUAGUAAGGCAGUAAUGGAGUGGGGAUUGCAUAGACUCACCUCUCUUACAGAUCUCAAUAUUGAUGGUAGUAAUUGUACCGAUGCGGUGUCGUUUCCUCAGAUGGAGACAGGAAUGAAGCUGCCCCCUUCUCUCACUUAUCUUUCUAUCGAAAAUUUCAAAAAUGUAAGAAAGCUAUCCUCCAACGGCUUUCAAAACCUCACCUGUCUUCAAUCUUUGGUGAUCUACCAUUGCCCAAAGCUCAAAUCCAUUCCCCGAAAGGAAAUGCUUCCCUCGCUUUCGCAACUAGAAAUUUGGUACUGUCCAGUGCUAAAGAAAAGGUGCAAAAGGGAUAAAGGAAAACAAUGGUCCAACAUCGCCCACAUACCUAAAGUAAGAAUUGAUGGCAGAUUCAUCUACGAAUGAUGAAGAGGAAGAAUCAGAGCAUGUCAACUUAGGUAUUUUAAUCCUACAACUAAUUACUGUUUUAACUGAUUUUUUUUAUGUACAAAUAUAUCUACACAAACAUUGAAUUUUUUAGCAUUUAAUUGUGAAAAAUUUUAGCUUUUCUUUCCCCCAUAAAUAAAUCGAACAUGUAAUCUUGUGUUUCCUUGUUUAUUUGUUUUAGCAUAAAAAAUAGCAUUGAUAUGUUGCAAAGGAGAUAGUAAGGUAACUAAAUACUAAUCUGUUAACUUAUCCGAAUGGAGAUGGCAAGAAUUAUAUUCUGCAUCUAAAAUUUGAGUUCCAAAAAUAUUAAAAUGUGAUUCAAAUUCAUUUCAAGAGAAAUCGACAAGGUUGUGCAAUCCAUGGGAGAUUACUUCAAGUAAUAUGCUAACUCAUGAUCAGUGUAGGGAUCAGAUAGUUGAAACCUUCUCAUGUAAUUAGUUCCUCCUGAAUUGAUUUUGAGCAAUUCAAGUUUCAAGUUUAACCUCUAAUGGACUCUAACUUAGAAAACUAGCUAGGUCUUUCUUAAUGCUCCUUAUACAAAUGCUUUCUUGUGGAGAAUUCUGGUUUUUAAUGUGAAGGUUUUGGAACUUACAGAGUAUUGUUCCAUGGUUCAUAUGGAUUUCUUAAUCUGAUCUCACUUUCUUUAAGGAAAUUCAUUGCUUUCUUCAUUGUGAUUAAUUUGAUGCAGCUUGCCUACAACUUAUAUCUUGUUUCUUCAGUUUCAUAUUAUUUGGUUUGUUCUUGCAAUGAUCGUUUAUUUGAUUUUCUUUCUCACCUUCUCUGUAAUAUUAAAUUAGUUAUAAAAUUUCAACAUCCUGGAGAACAUUUAUUUUGUGCACGGUUGAGUCUGGAAAUUAUCUUCCUCUUUUGUAAAAGGGAAACAAUUUCCAACUUUUAAGACUCAUUUUCCAUUGACAAUCAAAUGACCAUCCUAAUUUCUACCAACCAAAUGUCCGAAGAAUGUAGAAGUCAAUUUCUGGAAACUAAUUUUUGUAAAACAAAUAGAAUCUUAGCUCAAUUCUGAAUUAAACCCACUAUUUUUAUGGCAGGUCCAGUAGACAUUAAGAAUAAGCUUCGUAGCUUUAGAGUAUGAGAAGGCUUGAAAUCCAUCUCUUUUCUUCUUAGUAAAGAGGAUUGCACCUUUCACUUCACUCUGCGCUUCCUUGGAACUACUACAGGUGAGAACAACUGCUAGAAUUUUUCUAAUUUCUAUCUCCUUUGUGCAUAUGCAUGAUAAGUGAAUUCAUUUCAUAUCAUCAAAUUAUGUUCAUUGGAUUUGAGCAGAAGCAAUAUAAUGACUGUAACCACUUCACAAGAUGUUCUACCAUUUUUUUUUUUUAUUAGUAAUGUUCUACCAAUUAAUGUUAUAUGUUUAUUGUUCUCUGCUUCCUUAUGCCAUGUAAGCAUCACAAGUAUUUCUAAAUCACGGUAUUAAGUUUUUUGCUACUCCACACUAACAACAUAAUGCUUUGGCCUUGUAUGGCAGGAUGAACAAAACUAAUGAUUUUGCAUCUAAUUGCAAUGCCCUCAGAAUCAAUGAUGGAAAGGUUUCCAAGCAGCAUGUGAGUGUAUCAUGUAGAAAGAAAACUAAGAUUUUGGGUUCAACUAUGAUUCUCAGUUGUAUGUGUGGGCACUAGUGGAUUUCUUGAUCCUUACUUCCCAAAAAUAUGAUAUCAUAGAUGGCAGUGAUGUUGAUUCAAGAACGUCCAAUUCCAAAGACUUGAUGGCUAGAGAGCUGCAUAAUGUAAGUAAUUGUUACUGAUUGCCAAAAGUGAUUUGAUGGAGGAAUGGGUGGCUAAGGGAAAAAUGGAUUAAAGAGAGAGCAUCUUAGUUUAAAUGAGCAACCAAGCAUAGUUUCCACAGACAGUUCACGUAUUGUUUCUUCUUAGCACAUUCAUGAUGAGCUAAUUUGAAUUCAUAAUGAAAUUAUUUAAUUGUUGCCUUCUAUGCUUAGACCUAUACAACCUUGGGAUGGAUAAAGGAUUAAAUAUAUGAAUGUCAAGAGUUUAAAAUGUCAUAGAGAAAGCAGCUCAACUUUCUUCCAUUUUCUUUUUCAUUGUUGAACUUUUAUGUUUCUGUUUUUCUACUUAAGGUUUUCUUUUACUGUCAAUAUCUGUCUCAGGUUUUAAUUAGUAUGCUUUGGUUUUACUUUCACAGUCAUUCUCCUUCUUGGUGGAAAAGAUGUGAAUUGAAGACUUAUGAUCCAAUGUUGCCAAGAAGAUAGUCAGGUAACUUAAUACUGAUAUGUUGACUUAUUAGAAUGGAUAUAGUAGGAGUUAUACUCUGCAUUUGAAAUUCAAGUUCCAAAAAGUUAAAUGUGAUUUCGAAUUCAUUUCAAGAGCAAUCUGUAAAGUUCCACCAGAAUUGAUCUUGACCUAUUCGAGUGUAAAGUUUAUCCUCUAACAGUUUCUAGCUUAUAAAACUAGUUGAAAGUUUAACUUAAAUUUUAAGAGCAAUUUGUAAAAUUCUCAUAUAAAGGCUUUCUUGUUGGAAAUUUUGGUUUUUAAUGUGAAUUUUUUGGAACUCACGGAGAGUUGUUCCAUGUGUCAUAUGGAUUACUUAUUCUGAUCUCACUCUUUUAAAGAAAAUUCAACGCUUUCUUUGUUGUGAUUAAUACAAUACAGCUUCCAUAUAACCUAUAGCUUGUUCCUUUGGUUUUAUAUUGUUUGUUUUGUUCUUGAAAUUAUCUUUCUCUGAUUUUCUAUCUCACCUUUCUACAAUAUGAAAAUCAGUUAUAAAAUUCCAAUUUUCUUCCCAGAGUGGAUUUCUGCACCGUGCAUGAGCCAUGCACUCUUUUUUAGCUACUAUUCAUAGAUGACGUUCCAUGGGUGGCGAUGAUUGUUUGGAUGCUAUCUUUUCUACAAGGGAGAAAUGAUGCUUCCCACCUUCUUUCACCUUACGAUGAGAGAAAUAAUGUUUGGAGUAGUUCUUACAAAAGGGCUUUCAAAAGAUCUGCAUACAGAGGUAUGGUGGCAGUUUUUACUUUUGAAGUAUAUUUAAAAAAAAAUAAUCUUUUUGCCCCGAAAAAAUUGAAAAUAACUUUUAGUGAAAACAAUGCUUCUGUCCCCAUUGAAAUUUAUCAAAAUUUGGAAUUUAGACCAUAUGAAUAAAAAUCUCUUAAUAGUAAUAAUGCAUAGUUAAGUGAACUUUUUCUUCACAAUGGAAAGCACUAUAUAUAUCACUGCUUCAUAUCACCUUUAACACUUGAAAUAAACCUAAACGAAUGUUUCAUAAAUUUAAAUUUUACAAUUAGCUAGAUAACUUUGCCCUCAUCAAGAUAAAAUUCUGCAUUUAUCCCUGUCCUGCCUUAAAAAUGGAGAAUACUUAAUUGCCAGUCAUUCAUCUCUUUUCAAAAGGAGUGCUUUAUGUUGAUAUUAAUGAUUCAUUUAUUAAUUAUGAAUAAAAAGAAGCAUGAAAGAUCUUAGAUAAUACUUCCUAUUUUCCUCCUAUUUACUGCACCAUGUCUAUUUAAAAUUCCUCUCAAUCAUUAUUAGCAGAAUUCUUUUUUACUUUCAAACAGUUAAUUAAAGUUUUAUAAUUACAAAGUGCUUCUCAUGUCAAACGUGCAGGAAUUUGAGUGCGAGUUACGUAAGAAAGAAUGAAAUUCAAACCUUUGGACGUAAUUCAUUGACAACAAUUAAUACUAAUGGUAAGUUUUCAAAAGUCAAUUUUUGAAUGCAUGCUUGAUAGAAUAAAGCCUUCCUCCUAAUUAUCAUGAAUGUAAUUUUCACAAUUCUCUGUUUCUUUAUCUUUAAUUCUAAGCUUAGAUACUUUGAUUACCAAUUUUCAAAUAAUUUGGUGGAGCGAUGAAGAUGAUCCCAAUGCAUUAUGAAUUUGGAAGCCAGGUAACUAUAUACUAAUUUUCAUGUUUCACAAAAUAUCAAGUAAAAUAGAAGCAUCAUAAUAAUGGUCUUGUAUUCAAUAUUCAAAUUCUAAAAUUCAACAUUUCAUUGAACUAAACACUAAGGUAGUCAUGCCAUGGAUUUUGAUAAAUCUGGAGUAUUGUGGCAACCUUGGUAUAUAUUAAGAAUAAGAUUUUGAGCAUUAGAGAAUCAGCAAGCCUGAAAUCCGUCUCUUUUCUUCUUAAUGCAAAGGCUGGUGCUUUGACUUGACUCUACACUUCCUUCCAAGUAAUACAGGUGAGAACAACUACUAAAAGUUUUAUGAAUUCUAUCUCCUUUGUGCCUAUUCAUAAUUAGUGCCUUCAUUUCAUAUCACCAAAUUAUGUUAUUUGGCUCUUCAGGAAGUCUUUGUUUCUGUCAUCAUUCAUUGGAUGUGAGCAGAAGCAGCAUAAUGACUGUAGCCACUCUACAAGAUGUUCUACCAAUUAAUGUUAGAUGUUUGUAGUUCCUUGCUUGCUUAUGCCAUGUAAGCAUCACAAGUAUAUGAGAAUUACUAUAUUAAGUUUUUUGCUACUCAACACUAACAACAGAAUACUUUGGCCUUUGUAUGACAGGGAUGAACAAAACUUAUGAUUUUGUAUCUCAUUCCAAUGCCCUCAAAAUCAACGUUGGAAAGGUAGAGUAAAGUAAUAACUGACUGCCAAAAGUGAUUUGAUGGAGAAUUGUGUGGCUAAGGGAAAAAUGGAUGAGAAAGUGACCACCUUAAUUUAAAUGAACAAUGAGGCAUAGUUAUGGUGUUUUAACGACUUGAUGUGCCUCCAGUCUCCACAGACAGUUCAUACUUGGUGAGAUUGUUUCUUCUUAGCAUGUUUUAUAAGGUGAUUAUUGAUGUUAGAAAUUUAGCUUUUUAUUGAUAACUUCACGUCAUAUCGUUUACUUGUACUAGAGAAGACUUUUGUAAUCCUAUUAUUUUGAGUAGUGGAAGAAUUUGAACGGACUAUGGUCCCAUGGUUUUUCCCCUUACCAUGGGGUUUUCCACGUAAAAUCUGGUGUCUCGCUCUUGUGGGCUGUUGAUUAUUUCAUUUUUUUACAUUAAUAACCAAUUAUGAAUUACUACUUCAAUUAUCAUACAAUGUAUUUAACUUUUAUAAAGAGGGAUAAAAAUUUGGAGUUCUGGUUGUCCGGUUGUAAUGGUAGACUGUAAGGACAAUGCUUAGUGCUACCUUUUUAUCUUGGUUCUACUGAUUAACCUUGAGGAGUGAUGUCAAAGGAAUAUAUUCAAUAUGGUGGGCGUGAAGUUCUAUGAAGAGAAUUGAACAAAUGCAUUUCCACCAUUAUAGAUUCUUCAAUGCCAAGAUAUGCCAGAGUUGGAGUGGAAUUCUUACCAAGUUGAUGAGCAAAACGGGAUCUUCACUUGCCUCCAUGAUCUUUCUGUCAAGAAAUGCCCCAAAGUAUUGAGAAGUCUACCAAGUUGUCUUCCUUGCUUGGAAAAACUUGUGAUUUAUGAUAAUUGGUAAUUUUAAUUCCAAACCCUUCAAGGCUAUGUGAAUUAGAAAUUGUUGGGUGCAAAGAAGUGUGACAUGAGAGUUCUCUUUAUCUUUGCUCAUUCAAAAAAAAAGUCUCUCGAACACCCCAAAGUUUACUUAUGAUGUUAGGCUUAAUAAAAAUUAAAUUUCUUCGAAUUGGUGGUUGUCGGAGAGCUUACUUAUUUGAUGCAGAACAUCGGGGGCUGGUUAGCUUCUGCAGGUUUAGGCUUCAGCAUGUCAAGAUAUGGAGUUGCUCCAAGUUGGCCUAUCUUUAAUCAAGUGGCCGCUUACUCGUGGGGCUUACACACCUGCGGAUUGACCUUUGCCAAAUGCUGGAAUCUUUUGCACAAUUAGUUCACAGUAACACUUCUUUUGAAUUCAUUUUCAUCGGUAGGUGUGGAAAGAUCGACUACCUACCUGAUCAUGACUGCUAUUGCUAUCUGGAAGAAUAGGUACCAUUGUUUCAUUUCCUUUAUUUGGCACAAGACUUUCCACUGCCAUUCCAACAAAACCUAUGCAUUAUUGCCUACUGCCAACAGUUUCCAUUGCAAAAUCUGUAAUCGUAUUGAUACAAGGGGUUGCCUCCAUGUGACAAUCAUUAAUUUAACAAUUUCACUGAAUGACAAAAUUAUGAUCACCACAUCAACUAAAUUCAAGGUUCAACAUAAGUCAAAAGAUGUAAAAUAUAAAUAGUAGUAAGAAAUGGUAUAUAAAAGUUACUUUAGUAAACAGAAAUUUCUUGACAACUUAAUCUUAAUUUGUAAAUAACCCGUGACAUGAUACAGCCUAGGUGCAUAUAAAUAACUCGUGACAUGGUACAAAAAUUUUUUGUUUUUUUAUUUCUGUUUGUCGAUCGAAAAUCAACCCAAUAUGAAAAUAAAAGACAAUAAGAUAAAAUAACUGAAAGCCCGUGACAAAAACUUGGACUUAUCCCAAAUACAAAGCUACAAAAAAAUUUGACUUAGAGUUGGAUGUCAUCUAUUGUGUCCCCCAUGUCCCAAUUCCCCACUCUUUCCCAAAAGUUACUAAGCCAACGCAACCAAAAAGCCUAGGUGCAGAGCUCAUGGGCCACUCCCAGCCUUGAAUUGGGCACAUCGAAAAGUACUCUAUGGUUCUGUUGCUGCGUAUUAACUAUCACAUUCAACACUGAAUUCACAUUCUUUGGUGCGGAUGCCAUGGCCAAGCACGUGAUGCUGCUUGCUGUGCUAUGGAUUAGUAGGUUAUCGCGUGGCAGUGUCAUGUUCAUGCCUGCAAGCAUGAACGUUAUCGUCGGUGCCACAAUAGGGACGGUGUAACAUGUGUUGAACUCACAGAGCAGCCGAGGGAUGUCCCGUUGGCCACCUUGACUCGCCUCUGGAACUUGUCUCGGAUGGCUCUAUAGGCCGGUGCUACUAUCCGUGUAAAGAUGGCACCUAAUGUUGAAUAGCAAAGUUUAGUGACUUUUCAAUGACAAGAUAAAAUACAUUAAGGGCAGAUUUUGAAAUGAAGCUCUUUGAGUUAACAUAAACUUUAACAUAUUAUCAAACUUUUUACAAAAAAAUGAAAUUUUUUAUUUUCAUUUAUUUAGAGAUAUUAAUAUAUAUUUGCUUUUGUAUAAUAUUUUGUAAAACAAUAUUAUUAAUACUAGACCACUAUGGUUAUUUUGAAAAUAUCCAACAUAGAAUUGCCUCAAUGUAGUCGUGACUAUCUCUAAAAAGUUGUCUUUAAAUUAUUUUAUUUAUUUACAAUUUUUAUUUUGAAAAGCAAGAUGUAUAGAUUUCUUCCAUAAAAGGAAAUGAAGGAGCAGAGGUAAACAAAAAAUACCACUUGGCUCCACUGGCGAAGGGUAGUUAAGUCCGUCCCCCAAGUUUUUUAAAAUAUUUUAUCCAUUAUAUAUAUUAUUUAAUCAAAGAUGGAAGAUGGUAUAUUUAUCGAGAUCGUGGUCCUCUAAAAAUUUUAAUAUUUUAAUUCCCUUUAAAAUAAUUUUUUAUUCAAUAAUUAAUAUAAAUAAAAAAUAAUAAAAUGACGUUAUAAAUCUUACUCAAUUUUAUUUCUCUACAUAUCUUUCUCUCUCCUCUUUCUCCCUCUUUCUUUUUAUUUUUUUUCUCUUUUGUUUUUUUAUUUAUAUAUUUUUAAAAAGCAAUCAAUGAAAUUUCAUUCUUUAAUGUAUGUAUACAAAAGCUACCUCAUUUUGGUAGUAUUACAACAAAAACAUAUAGGACAUGUCCCUAAUACGAGAUAAGUUACGUAUAAUGAAACAUAACACACUUAAAACCUAGCAGUCUACUACCAUGAACAACCAAAGUUCGGAGGCAUUUCCUUUAGAAACACAUGGCUCCUGCAUAAUCUCCAUAUAGAGCUUUCUGGUUUACAAAAAAUCUCAACAAGCAUUGGGUGUUGUCCUUACUAGGCAAACUUCACUUUAACUAUACAUCAAUAUUAAAAGGAAAAUUAGUUCAAAUCAGCAACAAAAUGCAUAAAUACGAGUCUUAGUGGGUUGCACAUGUUAUGAAGUUGGAGCCAACAAACAAUAUCUUUUUAUUUUUACUUUACUCUCUUUUUUGUAAUUUACCACUAAAAUAUACUUCAUUUUUUAAACGUUGGGCACAAUUUUUUUAAAAGACUAUUAUAAAUUUUUUUUUUAUUUACAUGUUAUAGAAAAUUAUUAUCUAUUAUGAAUAUUUUGAUUGUUGGUUGACUUUUUUUUUCUUUUAAUUGAGGGAGGAGGGAUUUAAACUCUGCUCUUUAGACAAGGGGAUCAUACACCAACCAAUGAGCCAAAUGUUCGAACGAGUGCUGAUUAUUGAUUAAAUGUAAUAUAUUAAUUUUAAAAAUUUUUAACCCUUAAUCCUCUUCAUCUUUGAUCUUCCACAAAAGUUGAAUAGCGUUGUCCUGCUUGGCUCUACUGUAUACACAACCAACCCUACUAUUGUUGCGAGCAGGUAAAAAAUAUACAAAAGUUUUUGUACAAAAAUAUUGCCUGCAUUACAGUCGGCACUACCCAAAAGAAAAAGAAAAAGCUCACAACCAACUUACAGACAGCUACAAGAAGAAAGAAGAAGCAGCAUAAAUGUUACUUACAGUUUAUUUUUUAACCAUGCUAUAUUUUAUUAAAAUAACCAUGAAAUCAAUUUAUUCAGUAAAUAGAUAAAUACAUAAAUAACUAAAUAAGUAAAUAAAACAUUACUUUAUCAGUUUUAAAUAUGUGAAUAUAUUGUUAUAUUAAUUUCAAUAAAAUAUUAUAAUGAUUUUUACUAAUUUUCAUUAAUUUUAUUAAUUUUGUAAAUAUAAAAUAUUAUUAUAAAAUUAUAUUAUAUACCAAUUUAUAUCUAAUUAUCUUAAUGAUCAUUUUCCAUCUCAUGACACCCAUUAUGCACCAUUGCUUGUUGUCAAAGACAAGUCACAUCGUCGGUUUUAAUCUUAUUGGUGCAACUCCCAAUCUCAUCGUAAUGCUAUCAACCUAACCAUAUCUGUUUCUAUUUUCAUUACUAUCAAUGUUAUUCCUAUCGAUGAAAUUUUUGUUAAGUUUACAAUUUUAGUAAAAAAAUCUUAUUUUCCUUCGCUAAAUAUCAGUAGGAUAUCUAUAUUAGUAAUUUUAUGAAAUCACUACCUUGCCAACAAAAGAUCCUUAUUUACUCAAUUCUUAUCCACCAAUAACGUUUAUUUAUCAUAUAAACUUUUUUUUUGUACAAAAUUACAUGUAAAAGUAAAAUAUUUUUAAUCACAAUCAAGUUCUUAAAUUAUAAUCACAACCAGCCUAAUGAAAUUUAGCUUGCAACAAAUUGAGAAUUAAGAAGAAAGAAGUAAGGAUGGAUAAAUGAAAAAUCUUCAAUGGAGAGAAUCAAAUACAUUAGCAUUUACCCUUUAUACAAUCCAGUAGCUAGAAGCCCCCAUUUUCUUUUAUUUUAAUUUGUUAUCUCUUAAACAAUUCUUUUUAUCAGCACACAACGAGCGAAACACGAUUAAUAGAGUUGAAUCAUAAAAUUCACAGCAAAACAUUUAAAUAUUUGAUUCAAUAAUAUUUAUAUUUUUUCCCGAAUUCAGAUUGCAUUCUCCAAUUAAAAGUAUAGACUUCACAUAGAAGACUAAAAUCAAAUGCAAAAGUACUCAGUGCCCACGGUUGUACAGUCCAGGAUUUUCACCUUUCUUGGGAGGUUUAUUUUGGUUCGGGAGACAGUCAGUGUAACGUAGCCUGUCGCAAAUAACCGGGUUGUUAGGGGCAGAAGUGCCUCCAGUCCCAGUGCCAGAGCUACCAAGCACGCUACCAAUGUGGGAGUCGAACAAGAACUCCAACUCCAAGUUAUUGUGAGCAACAGGGGGGAAGAUGGAACUCCUCCAUUGAAGUAGCGGUUGCUCCAUGUUGGGUUGCAUGAAGAAGAACCAUUAGAGUGAUUAGGAUUCCUAGAGACAAAUCCUUUCCCACUACUCUAAUAACUUCCAUUUUUCUCUCUUUCUUUUUUCCUGCUCAGCCGACUCUUAGUAAAUAGCUACUACUCUCCAUCAAUCCAAGGGAAUUUCCUGUCUUAUUUAUAGAGAAAAAAGAAAAAGUUGAGGUGAACAUUAGAUGUCCAUAUACAAUUUGGAUAACACAUUUGCUGUUUUUUUUUUAAAAACAAUUAUUAUGAAUAGUAACACUUAUUAAUUUCUAAUGCUUUUUAAAAGCAUUUCUUGAGUACUAAAAAUAAAGUUAGUGAUCCCUUUGUUAAUAUUUUUUUUAACUUACCAUUGUUGUAUUCAACAGGGUCCAUAUAUAUUUGGAUUUGAAUGAGAAUCCCAUGUGAAUACACAAAAAUUCAAACCGAAUUAGACCCUGAAAGAACGACUUUCACAUGGUUGCAUGCACAAGUGUCUUUUGCUAAAGCUGACAAAAUCUCAUUCGUAAAUCUGCCUUUCUUCAGCACUGAAAACAAAAUUUAAGUUUUCACAAAAAUGAUGUAUAGACAUUUAAUUUGAGAUGAAAGAAUAUUAAUAGUGACUAUUAGGAGCAAGGAUAUGUUUUCCGCAUAUAAUGAACAUAGCAUAAUCACCUUGGGCACCCAUUUUUCCAUUAGAACCAACUCCUUACAGGUAAAGAGACUUCAUCCACAGGAAUAAGCCCAAUUGCAGUAGAAUGCAUAAUAUGUACUCCCAAAAUCUGUAUAUCAAACAAUAGAAACGAUAGCUGUUUGUUUCAGUCAAUUGAUUGUUCUAUAAAUUAAUCUCUUCAGUCAAAAGAAUUAGAUAAAUGAAUAACUUGUUCUCAAAUGAAUUAGGUAAAGAAUUACGUAAAGAAAGUGAUAGAGGAGGUUGGCUGAUGGACAGUACCAUGGAUUUCCUAUAGACCCUUUGCCAUUCAAGACUCUCGGUAAGGGAUUAUGUGGCUUCCCUUGAAGAAUAAUGAGCCGAAAUUUAACGUGGAUGGAUUUGUUAAAGGUAAAUCAGGCCCAGCUAGAUGGGGAGGAGUCCUCGGACAGCAGUAGAAAUGUCAUUGGCCUUUUAUUUUGGCCCCCUGGGUGAUAUAGACUCGAAUAGUGUGGAGACACUGGCAAUCAAAGACGCCUUACAGUUUUAAGGCUUUCAUUGAAAAAAAUUAGCAGUUAAGUACUCAAGGAUCUGUCGUUUGUCCAAGCUUAGUGACAGCCUUACAAAACCUACAAGAGGAAAAAUUUUUAAUUUCAUUGAACUUGAUAUUGUGUUUUCAAUUCUAUUAUUUUUUGACAAACAAUACAAAAAAUUAACAACAUUAUUUAUUAUUUGUAUUUAUGAAAUAUUUUAUUGAAUAUUUCAAUUUUGUUGAUUUUUAUAAAUUUUAUCAAUUUUUGUUAAAAAAUCAACAAAAUUAAACAUAUAGUAACAAAAUUCAACAUAACCUAAUAUAAUAACAAAUUUGAUCAUACUCCCACAGAAGCACAAGUAAUGAAAUGAAAUUUAUCAUAUAAAUUUUGUUUACCAACAUACAUGUAAAGAUAAAAAUUAUAUUCACAAUCAUGUAUUACAUUUCAUAUAAUUACAAAUUAAUAAAAUAAAUCAAAUAGACAAAUCAACCAACAAACUAGUAUAAAUCAGAUAUAUUCAAUAUAAAAUUGUAUUAUACCUGCUAAUGAUGAGAUUUGAACUUGAAAUAUCAACAGUCUAAUUAAGGUCUCGUAGUUGUCAUUAAGUUAAUGUCUCAUUAUUUCAGCUAAGCAAAGCAAUGAAUAUUUAGUUCUCUAUCAUUCUCCAGUCACAACUUCACCAAUGCGAUAGCCUGUAUAAGCACCAUUUCCAUCCUCAAGUAUUCUAUGAGAUGUGUCCCUGACUCAUAACGAGAACCAUGCCAAUGCCCAUGUUAAAACUCCAUCUCAUCUUAGUAUCUUCAAUUUUUCCAGCCUGUUGGUAUCCAUUAGAACACAGCUGGCAGUUCCCAAGAAUCCUUAUAGAGAGAAGCACCAUGGUCUUUUGGAAACACUCGAGGUAUAUUGUCUGUGAAAGCCACCACCUGUUCUAUGAUAUAUGCUAUUCUCUUUUCCCCUCCUUUGCUAAUUAAAUCUAGCAUCAGCUUAACAUCAGUAAUAAAAAAUUUCAAGACUUCUGAUUACCUUCAGUUUAGGUGUGUGGAUCAUAUUGAUAGGGGUUGCCUCCAUGUGACAAAUCAUUAAUCUAACAAUUUAAACAAUUACAAAAUUAUGAUCGCCACAUCAACCAAAUUCAAAGUUCAACAUAGAUCGAAGGAUGUAAAAUAUAUAAAUAGUAGUAGGAAAACGUACAUAAAAAUUUCUUGACAACUUAGUCUUAAUUUGCAAAUGAUGCGUAACAUGGUACAACCUAAUAAACUAAUCAUCAAUCCAAUAUGAGAAAAGAAGACAUAAGACCAGAUAAUAGAAAACCCGUGACAUAGACUUAGAUUUACCCCAAAUACAAAACUACAAAAAUGAAAAAUUGACUUAGAUUUGGAAGUCAUGUAUUCUGUCCCUCAUGUCCCAAUUCCCCACUCUUUCCCAAAAGUUACUAGGAGAAUGCAACCAAAAAGUGAAGUUGCAAAGCUCAGGGACCACUCCCAGCCUCGAAUUAGGGACAUCGAAAAGUACCCUAUGGUUCUGCUGCUGCAUAUUGGUUAUCAUAUUCAAUACUGAAUUCACAUUAUCUGGCACAGAUGCCAUGGCCAAGCAUGUGAUGCUGCCUACCGUGCUGUGGCAGUGUCACGUUCAUGCCCGCAAAACAUGAAUGUUAUCGUCGGUGCCACGAUAAGGAGGUUGUACUUGAAUUCUUAUCUUUUGGCUUUACUUUCUAAAAAAGCAGCAUUCUCUUUAUCAUAUUCUUUGAAGACUUUUGACUAAGGAUAGCAAAAAGACAAUACAUCUCUCUUUCUUACUAUAGUAAGUUGAUAAUAAGUUUGUACGAUUUCGUUGAAUUUUCUACAUAUUUUAUCAUGACUCUAUGCUUUGCAAAGAGAGUAUUAAUUAAGCCUUAAAAGCAAAGAAAUGAAUAUUUAUUUUCAUUUUCAAAUGCUGGAUUCCAUUGCAUAUUCAGUUCACAAUAACAAUUGCCUUGAAUUCAUUUUCAUUGGCAGGAGUGGGAAGAUUAUGUUCCUGAUCAUGACUGGUAUUGCUAUCUAGAAAAAUAGGUACCAUUGUUUCAUUUCCUUAAUUAGGCACAAGACUCUUUCCACUGCCACAAAACCUAUGAUUAUUACCAGGCGCCAACCGUUUCCAUUGCAAAAUCUUUAAUUAUAUUGAUAGGGGUUGCCUCCAUGCAACAAACAUUAAUCUAACAAUUUAACCAAUAAUAAAAUUAUGAUCACCAGUACAUCAACCAAAUUCAAGGUUCAAUGCCAACCUCGAAUUGUGACGUAGAUUAUGUUAGCAGAUGACAAGUAAAUUUAGUGCUUUUCUUAUGUAGUUAGGAGUCCUAUCAGAAAUUAUAGGUAUAAUAAAAUUUACUUUUUAUUUUAAUUUACUUGGACGAUAAGUAAGCAUAGGUUUAGGAAUUAAGUUUUCUUGCACUUUAAGGAAGUCUAGGGUAUAAUAUUAUUUUAUUUAAAUUUGUUUAUUUGCAUUCCAAGUUUAGGUCAAGUAGGAUUAGGUUAUUAUAAAUAGCACCUUUAGACUUAGUUAUUAGAUAAUUUUUUUUGAAUUAUUAAAUAACAUUAUAUUUUUUCUCAAAUUUUGAGUGUAAGUUUCUAUGUUUGAAACUUGGUUAUCAACUAUAAAGACUCUAUCCAGUGUUAGUCUUUGUUUUCACGUUAACUUACUAUAGCAAAUUGUGCACAUCAAAAAGUACCUUAUGGUUUUAUUGCUAUAUAUUGGCUAUCACAUUUAGCACUGAAUUCACAUUCUCUGUUGCGGAUGCCAUGGCCAAGCAUGGGACGCAGCUUAACAAAGUUUAGUGACUUUUCAAUCACAUAGUAUAUUGGAUGUUGUUUAAGGGAAAAUUUUGAAAUGGAGUUCUUUAAGUAAAGUUCUUUGAAUCUCCAACUUAAAAUAAUUAAAAAUUAAUUAUAGUUUAACCCCAAACUCCCUAACCUCCAACCGACGACAUUUUUUUUUGUUGUUUGUUUUUUUUCUUUUUCUUUGUGGUUGUUCUCGGUUGCUAGAGGAUCUAGGGUAUUUUCUUUGGUUUUUGUUGUGGCUAGGUAUUUUUUGGUUGCUGGUUCUUGCUAGGGAUUUUAGGGUUUUCGAUUGCUUCGUCCCUUUCCUUGUAGCUACAGUGUUCCUUUAUAUAUCGGCUCUCAAUCGGGUGUAUCGUCUCCACUACCUUGCCAGAUGCGAGUUUUUGACGUUUGGCACUGAUGGUGGUGCCUAACAAGGUGCGUCCGCACCCUGCCAGACGUACGUCUUUCUCUUUUUUUUUUCUUUUUUCAUUUUAUUUCAUCAUUUUUUGUUUCAUUUUCAUUUUUCAUUUUUUCAUUCAUUUUUUUAUUUUGUUUUUUUUGUAUCUUAUUUGUUGUUUUUUUUUCUUAUUAUUUAUUUUUUUGUCUGUCUAAGUAAUUACCUAUAAAAUUAAAGUGUCUACAGAAGGGAGCAGGAAAUCUCUUUGUGAGAGAACACAAGCCAUAGAACAAAGAACUCAAAAGACAGAGGAUAUUGGCCAUAUAUGCCUCCCUUAUGAACUGGGCAUAUUUUAGCAAUAACCCCUGAAAUGAAGCCAAUAUCGGGCAUUCAAAAGGAGCUUCCCUGCCUCAAAAGAACAAAAGCAUCACCAAGAAUAGUCCACCCAGUCCUAGUACACUACUAGUUAGUAGCUGAGCAAAAAAAAAAAAAAAAAAAAAAGUACUAGUAGUUAGUAGUAAAACUACUAGUAACGAGUAAUGUCCUCAUUAUUUAAUAUGGUUUAUCAAUUCUUCAACAAUUCAGUUUUAUCGAUUUUUUUAUUUUCUAUUUUUUAUCUUCUAAUAUCAACUUAAAUGUAAAAUUGUGAUGCAUCUUUUGAUGAUUGAGUUAGUGGAUUGUUGAAGACUAUACUUGGAUCAUAUUGAUAGAAAAAAAAAAGUAAAUUUGACUUAAAAUUAAUAUGAAAUAUAGAAAAAAUAAUAAGACUGGUAUAAAUAUUCAAAAAAGAAAAGUUGACAUAAUUUUGUAAUGAUUUUAAAAAAGUGGAUAUUCAAUUUGAAAUAGAAAAAGUAUAUAUUAUUACAUCAAUUAUUAGUUUAAUAAUUUAUUUUCACUCAAUAAGUAGAUAAAAUUUGAAGUCAAGAUGAUAUUUAUAUUGCAUCGAUCAAGAACACUUAUUGUUUGUUACAUAUAUACAUAUGUUUAAUUGAAAUUCUUUUCUACACAUCAUUGAAACAAUAUUUGGCCACUUGCAAUUAAUUUAAAAUUUAGAAAUGUUAUUUAUUUAUUUCUCAGUAUCAUGUCUACCUUAAAUAUGUUAACUCAUCACAAUACUUUUUACAAUCAUACCAAUCAUUUUAAAUUACAUUUCUACACAUUAAUUACAUUUUAAAUUCAACAAUAUGAUGUUAGUCACGUUUCUUGGUUCUUUCCUACUAUCGAUUAUUUGUUGAAUAGUCCAUCCGGAUAUCUUGAAUCUCAUUAUUUUUUUUCGAAAUAAUAAUUAUAAGUAAAAGAAUUUCAAUUACAAUCAACAUGUAUCACAUUCCAUCUGUGAAAAGAAUUAAUAAAUGCACCAACAUAUUAACUUAAAAGUUUUAAUUUUUUUUUUNNNNNNNNNNNNNNNNNNNNNNNNNNNNNNNNNNNNNNNNNNNNNNNNNNNNNNNNNNNNNNNNNNNNNNNNNNNNNNNNNNNNNNNNNNNNNNNNNNNNNNNNNNNNNNNNNNNNNNNNNNNNNNNNNNNNNNNNNNNNNNNNNNNNNNNNNNNNNNNNNNNNNNNNNNNNNNNNNNNNNNNNNNNNNNNNNNNNNNNNNNNNNNNNNNNNNNNNNNNNNNNNNNNNNNNNNNNNNNNNNNNNNNNNNNNNNNNNNNNNNNNNNNNNNNNNNNNNNNNNNNNNNNNNNNNNNNNNNNNNNNNNNNNNNNNNNNNNNNNNNNNNNNNNNNNNNNNNNNNNNNNNNNNNNNNNNNNNNNNNNNNNNNNNNNNNNNNNNNNNNNNNNNNNNNNNNNNNNNNNNNNNNNNNNNNNNNNNNNNNNNNNNNNNNNNNNNNNNNNNNNNNNNNNNNNNNNNNNNNNNNNNNNNNNNNNNNNNNNNNNNNNNNNNNNNNNNNNNNNNNNNNNNNNNNNNNNNNNNNNNNNNNNNNNNNNNNNNNNNNNNNNNNNNNNNNNNNNNNNNNNNNNNNNNNNNNNNNNNNNNNNNNNNNNNNNNNNNNNNNNNNNNNNNNNNNNNNNNNNNNNNNNNNNNNNNNNNNNNNNNNNNNNNNNAAAUAUAAUUAAAAUUAUAAAGACUUAAUUGAUAUUUUUUAUACAUACAAGUAAUAAUGAUAAAUAAAAAUAAUUUUUUUGGAUUUUUUUAUUGUUAUGUAAAUAAAAUUAAUUAUGAUCUUCUAUUUAUGAAUAAUUAAUUUUACACUUUUAAAUAUCUUUAUUUUAUAUGUAAUUAAUAUUUAAAAAUAGAUAAAAAAUAUUCAAAUAAAUAAAAAAGACGAGAUGGGUAAAAAAGCAUGUAGGACCAUUCAAUAAAUUUGGAGAGCAACGUACAGCUACUGCCCUUUACCAACCCCACUUCAACAGUAUGUUGGUCUGAGUUUCUUGGUUGUUUCCUGCGAUCCACACAUCUUGACUUGACGUCAACUCCAAAACAAUAUUCUUUUCUAAUUAAAUUCCAAGUAAAAUUUUAAUUAUAGUCAAAUAAUUUUCACAUAUCACAUAUUACAUCCAUAAAAAUAUUAAUAAGCAAGCCAAUUAAUAAGUAUAAAAUUUUUAGUUUAAUACAUUAUGCAUCUAAAUGUUUAAUUUAAUAGUAAUGCAUGUCUCUGUUAUGAAAGAGCAGAGUUUAAUUUUUUUUUUGGUAUUAUUGAUAUGAAACAAGAUUUAUCUAAUUUGUAAAUAAAAAUUUUAAUUAUGUUGAAUGAUUUUCAUUAAUUUUUUAAUAAAUUUAUAUUAUAAAAUCAGUUAUAUAGAAUUGAAAAGUUAAUUUUCUUCUUAUAUGUAAUUAUUAUUUGAAAAUAAAUAUUCACACGCGAGAAUAAAUAACAACAAGUGUAAAUAUUAUAUUAUUGGAAAGGGUUGAUGGGAAUGCACAAAAAACUUUCCAACCAAAUUAGGCCCAAAGAAAAGCACAACGCUUGACAUGACUUGACUUGCUCAGCUUGUCUAGAAACUGGUAACUCUUCACAACCACAUUAAUUCCCUAUGAUUUUUUCUGUAAUUCGUAUCAUCACCCAACCUCAAAAAUCUAGCAACCGAAUUAGAUCCAGAAACAGUUUCCACAAUCCAUUUUUCUUCUAGUCCAAUAUCCUUCUCUUGGAUUUUCUCUCUACUUCAAGUCUCUUGAUUCCUUUCUCAAACAUAUUGACCAUGGCUUUCGUUGCAGAGGCUGCUCUCUCUGCUUCCUUUGACUUGUUGUUGGCCAAGAUUUCCUCUUCCGACUUCAACUUUGUCACUGAGAAGCGGGUUCGCGAGGAGAUUGAGAACUGGAAAAAGACAUUGGAGAUCAUCCACGCAGUCCUUGCUGAUGCAGAGGAGAAGAAAAUGAAGAACAAGGCUGUGAAGAUUUGGCUGGCUGACCUCCAAGACUUGGCUUAUGACGUCGAUGACAUCUUGGACGAGUUUGCCACUGAAGCUUUGGGGCGUAAGUUGAUGAAAGCACAUCGGGCCAGCACUAGUAAGGCACAAAAAUAUCUUACUAGUUUAAAUCCACGUUCCAUCAUGUUUAACUCUAAGAUGAUGUCCAAGAUCAAAGAGAUUACAGGAAGGUUGGAAGAUUUAGCAACAAGAAAGAUUAACCUGCAACUAGAGAAAUAUGUUGGAAGGCCCAUGACAAUACCAAAAAGCAAGCCAAGCACUUCUCUGGUGAAUGAAGCUACUGUACAAGGCAGAGACAAAGACAAGAAGGCAAUAAUUGAUCUGCUUUUGAGGAAGGAUGGCAAUGAUGCUGGAGUUUCUGUGAUUCCCAUCACCGGCAUGGGAGGGAUAGGCAAGACAACCCUUGCUCAGCUUGUCUACAAUGACAGUAGCAUAGGAGAUUAUUUUGAUCUCAAAGCAUGGGUAUGUGUUUCUAAUGAAUUUGAUGUUAUUAAGAUAACGAAAACAAUUCUAGAAUCGGUCACUUUCCAGUAUUGUGAUAUACAUGACUUGAAUUUACUUCAAGUCAAACUAAAGGAAAAGCUAUCGAGCAAGAAAUUCUUGCUUGUUUUGGAUGAUGUUUGGAAUGAGAAUUAUGAUGAUUGGACAAAGCUUCGAUCUCCUUUUGAUGCCGGGAUUACUGGAAGCAAAAUAAUCGUAACAACACGUAAUUCUAAUGUUUCAUCAAUUAUGAGAACUGUUGCAGACCACUCAUUGCAAAUUUUAUCAGAUAAUGAUUCUCUCUGUAUGCUUGCUCAUCAUGCAUUAGAAAGAGGGGAUUUUACUGGGCAUCUAGACCUGAAAGAGAUCGGCAUGGAGAUUGUGAAGAAAUGUGGUGGCUUGCCUUUGGCCAUUAAAACUAUCGGAGGACUAUUGCGCACUAAGGUGAAUCAUGAUGCAUGGAACUACAUAUUAAAGAGUGAUAUUUGGAAUCUACCUGAAGAGAAAAGUGACAUAACUCCAGCUUUAUGGUUGAGUUACUAUUAUCUUCCUUCGCAAUUAAAGCAGUGUUUUGCAUAUUGCUCUCUAGUCCCUAAAGAUUAUGAAUUUAAAGAGGAGGAAAUAGUCUUGUUAUGGAUGGCAGAAGGUUUUCUAAAUGGAGCAAACACUAAAAGGAAUAUUCAAGAUUUGGGUAGCAAGUAUUUUGAAGAACUAGUAUCAAGGUCAUUUUUUCAAGCAUCUAACAAGAAUGAAUCCCAAUUUGUAAUGCAUGACCUAAUUAAUGAUCUAGCUCAGUUCGUUGCAGGAGAAGUAUAUUUUAAAAGGGAAAGGCAUGAUGAUAUGAACGGUCCAAUUAAUCGCACUCGCCAUUCCUCUUAUAUCAUUGGUAGUUAUGACGGAAUCCAAAAGUUUGAGACCUUUUUUGAAGCAAAGUCUCUACGAACCUACCUGCCCUUUAAGAUGAUGCAGCAAUGGAGAUGCUACUUGAGCAAUAACGUUCUCAAUGAUUUACUGCCGGCAUUAAAAUGCUUAAGGGUGCUCUCUUUGAAAAGGUACUACAUCACAGAAAUUCCUUCUUCUAUUGGAAAUUUGAAGCAUUUACGCUAUCUAAAUUUCUCUUAUACCAAAAUAAAAAGUCUCCCUGAUUCAAUAUGUAGUCUUUAUAAUUUGGAGACUCUUUUGUUGAGGUAUUGUGAGAAUUUUGAAAAACUACCCCUAAAAAUAGGGAUUUUAGACAACUUAUGUCAUCUUGAUAUGACUGAUGCAAAUUUAAUAAAGGAAAUGCCAAGUGGAAUUGGAAAAUUAACAAAUCUUCAAGUGUUGUCUAAUUUUAUUGUGGGUCAAGGUGAUGGAUUGAAUAUAAGAGAGAUGCAGAAUUUGUUAAAUCUCAAAGGUCAGCUUUGUAUUUCUGAAUUGCAUAAUGUGGAUGAAGCUCAACAUGCAUGGGAAGCUAAGCUAUCUAGUAAGUGUGACCUUGAUAACUUAGAGUUGAAGUGGAGUGCAGAUUUCAAUGAAAAUCUUAGAAAGAAAGAAGUUGAGAAAGAAGUGUUGAACUCGCUUCAACCUCAUAAAGAUAUUAAAGAGCUUGCCAUCAAGUAUUAUGGUGGAAUAGAGUUCCCGGAUUGGGUGGAAGAUGAUUCAUUCAUAUAUUUGCAAGUUUUAAGACUUGAAUAUUGUGAAAAUUGCACAUUCUUACCAGGAGUUGGAAAAUUACCACUUUUAAAACAUCUUUAUGUCAAGGGGAUGAGAAGUGUGAUUAGUGUUGGCAAUGAGUUUCAUGGAGUGAAUGGGCCAAAUGUAUUUCCAUCAUUAGAGACCUUGUACUUUGAAGAUAUGCCAGAAUGGAAAGAAUGGAAACUUUAUGAAGUUGACGAACAAGGUAAGCAAUUUUGUUGCCUUCGAGAACUCUUUAUUGAAAAUUGUCCAAAAUUAGAAAAAACUUUGCCUGAUCAGCUUUAUUCUUUGGAGAAACUUGUAAUUCGUAAGUGCCAAGAAUUGGUAGUUUCAGUUUCGAAUCUUCCGAUGCUAUGUGAACUUGAUAUUUAUGGAUGCAAAGAAGUAGUGCUUGGGAGUUAUGAUGAUCUAUGGUCAGUUAAAAAAAUCAGUCUUUCAAACAUUUCAAAGUUUGCAUGUGUAACAAAAGAAAUGAAGAUGGUAGAGUCGAUGAAAGUAGAAGUUCUCGAAAUUAAUAGUUGUGAGGAGCUGACGUCUUUGUGGCAAACAAAGUGGGGGUGGUUGGCGCCUUUGAGAUCUCUUCGUACUUUAAAGUUUGAAAAUUGUACGCAAGUUGUGUGUAUAGGAGGAGGGGCAAAGGAGGAGGCAAAAGAAGAGCUUUUGCAAUUAGAAAUACCGUGCAACAUUGAAUUUGUGAGAUUAGCAUAUUAUCAAGGGUUAGAGAGAUUAUCGAAGACCUUUCACAACCUUACAUGUCUUACACUGUUAUGGAUUGAAAAGUGCCCGAAAUUGGUUUCACUUUCAACGGACAACUUGCCUCCAACUCUUAGGACUUUGAUCAUUUGGAGUUGUGAGAAUUUGGAAUGUUUACUGGAUGACAAGGAGAAUAUCAAUUUCAGUAGCACAUCUCUUCUUCAAUCUCUUGAUAUUAGAGACUGUAAAGCUCUAAAAUCAUUAUCAUGGAGUGGUAAGUUACCCGUGCAACUUAAGAGGUUGCUUAUUUCGGGCUGUCCAGAGCUUGAAUGUUUAGCACGGGAAAUUGGGGAUAAUACUUGUCUUGAAUCUAUUGAACUCUCCAAUUGUGGUAAUAUUACAUAUUUACCCCAAGGACUGGACAAGCUCAGCCGUCUUCAAGAGAUUUCUUUAAGGGGUUGUCUAAAUCUUGUCCGUCUCCCAGAAGCUCUGCCCAACCUCCACCAUCUUCAAGAAUUGAUUAUAGAUGAAUGUCCAAGGGUGCAAAAUUCCAUCGGAGAAAGGGGUUUCCCUACCAACCUAACUUCCCUUUCGAUUAUUGAACCCAAUAUUAGUAAGGCAGUAAUGGAAUGGGGAUUGCAUAGACUCACCUCUCUUACAUAUCUUAACAUUGAUGGUAGUAAUUGCACAGAUGCGACGUCGUUUCCUCAGGAGGAGAUAGGAAUGAAGCUGCCCCCUUCUCUCACCAAUCUUACUCUCAGAAAUUUCAAAAAUGUAAGAAAGCUAUCCUCCAACGGCUUUCAAAACCUCACCUCUCUUCAAUCUUUGUGGAUCAUCAAUUGCCCAAAGCUCAAAUCCAUUCCCCGAAAGGAAAUGCUUCCCUCGCUUUUGCGACUUUAUAUUUGGGAAUGUCCGGUGCUAAAGAAAAGGUGCAAAAGGGACGAAGGAAAACAAUGGUCCAACAUCGCCCACAUACCUUUCGUAACAAUUGAUGGUAGAUUCAUCUACGAAUGAUCAAGAGGAAGAAUUAAAGCAUGUCGACUCAGG
rnacentral:lncRNA from 1 species